rnacentral:rRNA from 1 species
GGGGGGGCAAGCGUUGUUCGGAAUUACUGGGCGUAAAGGGCUCGUAGGCGGCCAACUAAGUCACACGUGAAAUCCCUCGGCUCAACCGGGGAACUGCGUGUGAGACUGGAUGGCUUGAGUUUGGGAGAGGAAUGCGGAAUUCCAGGUGUAGCGGUGAAAUGCGUAGAUAUCUGGAGGAACACCGGUGGCGAAGGCGGCAUUCUGGACCAACACUGACGCUGAGGAGCGAAAGCCAGGGGAGCAAACGGGAUUAGAUACCCCGGUAGUCCUGGCCCUAAACGAUGAAUACUUGGUGUGGCGGGUAUCGAUCCCUGCCGUGCCGAAGCUAACGCAUUAAGUAUUCCGCCUGGGGAGUACGGUCGCAAGGCUG